GAGACAUGCCAUCUUGUUAGUGUAUCCAUGAUCUUUGAUUCAAUCCAAAUUCAUAGCCUUUUUUAAAUUUGAACCUGUAUUUAACUAGGCAAGUCAGUUAAGAACAAAUUAUUAUUUACAAUGACGGCUUACCCCGGUCAAAACCGGAAAACACUUGGCCAAUUGUGCGCCGCCGUAUGGGACUCCCAAUCACGGCCGGAUGUGAUACAUCCUGGAUUCGAACCAGAGACUGUCGUGACGCGAACUGAGAUGCAGUGCCUUCGACGGCUGUGCCACUUGGGAACCCGAUUAAGACAGACAACUGUUUAUUUCAGCAGAGAACACGCAGCAAAGAUGCCCUAGUAGGGAGGAAACAAGGCAUUUCCAAGUAGGCUGCAUUUUUAAGGAGGAGAGGAUCUUAUUUUCACCGCAGAUCUCCAUUUCACCAAGGACUGCUGCUGACUGGACGUUUUAUGUUUAUCGCACCAUUCUCUGUAAACCCUAGACACUGCCAUACGUGGAAAACCCAGGAGGGUGGCCGUUUCAGAGAUACGGGAACCGGCGCGCCUGGCACCGAUGAUCAAACCACGCUCAAAGUCACUUAGGUCAUUCGUUUUGCCACUUCUAAUGUUCAAUCGAACAGUAACUGAAUGCCUCGAUGCCUGUCUGCCUGCUUUAUAUAGCAAGCCACGGCCACGUGAGGUAAUGGGCUAGUGUACCUAAUAAACUUGCCACUGUGUGUAUAUAUAUUGCAUAUAGUAGCCACUGCUAGUAGCCAUGUAUUCAUCCAACAGUAAAUUAAAUGUCCUUUUCAUUUGAGGGCUACUAUCCAUGAGACCUAUAGGCCUAUACCCUCGUAAUGGCCUGCUCCAUAUCUAAAAGCCAUAUCAAAUAUCUUGGUUGUAAAACAGUUGACAUUGAGCUGAAUAUUUAGAGUUGAGAAAAACAUAUAUACCUACAGAAAGCUGAUACCCUCUUCUCCUCGGCAGGGACAAGAGGGGGAAGCUUCCAAAGCUUUGUUUUUCCCGCAAUUGCAUUUUAAAAGGAUAUACUAUCAGAACGCAAUGUAGAAUGUGCUCUUUCUACGUUCAUAGGCACCGUGAUACAUGAUCUGGUUGUCUAACUGAUUACCUAGUCAGAGCAGGUCUCUUUACGGAUGCCGCGUUAGACUUUGAAUGUGAGUGUGCGUGACCUAUUUCAUUGUUUUAUUUGUAUAUAUAUAUAUAUAUGUAUAUAAAAGUGUGUUAAUUUCAAGCAGCCCACCCAAUUGAAAAUUUAUCAAGCUUUGAAAAUUAGCAAUUCAGUGAGCUUCAAAAGUAUUGGGACAGUGAUACAUUUUUUGUUGUUUAGACUCUGCACAAAUACCAAACUUUAGACUACUUUAAUGCACAUAUAAAUGAAUUUGUCCCAAUACCUUUGGUCCCCUAAAAUGGGGGGUACUAUGUACAAAACGUGCUGUAAUUUUUUUAACGGUUCACCCGAUAUGGAUGAAAAUACCUUCAAAUUCAAGCUGACAGUCUGCACUUUAACCUCAUAGUCAAUGUAUCAUUUCAAAUCCAAAGUAAUGGAGUACAGAGGCCAAACAACAGUCUAAACGGUCAAACAGAUUUGGAUGAAAAAAAGGUGACAUUCUGCACGUAUGAAACGUUUGAUCUCAAAUCCAAAAUGCUGGAGUAUGCUUCACUGUCCAAUUGCAUGUAGGUAAUCAUACGGUGAAAGAAUGCUUUGGCCUCACUCAUGAAGGCCAUACCAACCUCAGCGCAGCUAAUACUGGAACAAAUAUGUGUAAAGCAAAGGCAUAGGGUAAUACUUAGUUAUAGGUAUCUUUGACUUGAUGUCGUCUGAAGGUGAUUCCUCCUCCAGAACAAAUGUGCAAUCUGUUCUAUAGCCCAGAAUGUGAACUGUAUUUACACAAAAUGUGAUCAAAUAGUUUGCUAAAUGUGAUAGGCUGAUCCUCGGCUGUGGUGAUCAGGCAUUGUGAGGAUUAAGAAUGUAAUAGCUAUGGAUGUAUCCCAAAUGGCACCCUAUUCCAGAUACUGUAGUUAGUGCACUACUUUUGACCAGUGCCCAUAUUGAGAACAGAGUGCCAUUUGGGAUGUUCCCUAUCUGAGUUAAGAUGAAGGAUUGAGGGGGCAUCCCUCAGCUUAAUGAACAGUUGAAUCACUUGCAUUCUCCUGUUUCUUUAACUCACAUUGUAGUUGUUGUUGUUUUUAUUUGUAUUUUUUUAAUGAUAUUUUCUAGUAUUAUCUAUACACUACUGUUAUUGUUAUCACUGCAUUGUUGGAAAAGAGCUCUCAGGGUCAUU